GCUUGCUUGGAAUUUUAGAUGCUUCAUUUUUACUUUUUUUAUUACAUCCCAUCAAGAUGUUGCCACUGACUAGAUGUAGGGAAAGAUCGGUGUAUUUUUGACCUGCUGGCACUGAUGCUGCUGUUAACCCAGUAAGCUAAUGUCAUCCCUUCUUGAGCAUUAGCACGAUUUAACCACAUGAGGUCACUGUUGCGAAAGACACGACAGGGAUGGCAGAAAGCGGUAAACUGUCACUGGAAAUCAUACUGAAAUGCUGACGAGACGAUUACAGAGUUUGACAGCCGAGAAUCGAUGGCAGUGGGAGAGUUUUGGGGCAGAUUUACACGGCUGUGAAAGCUCUGAGAGAUGGGAAAAUGGUUCUUCUCGCAGUUAUUAUUUUUCAUGGUUGUGCACGAUGAAAACUUACAACAGAUCAACCCACCUGCUACAGAAGCUCAUUUACAUCGCAUUAUUUCCAGUUAUAGAGGCACAAAAAGUCGACGUCUUGCCCGAAGUGGCUGGAUACCUCCAGGAUGAUGUCACUUUGCCGUGCCAGUUCAUCCAAGGAGCAGAAGACGGCAACGUUACUCAGUUUCAGUGGGAUCUCCUGCAACCAAAAGGAGAAGAUAUCACCCUUGCCGUUUCAAAUAGCCAGCAUGGACUGAAUAUUCCUGAUUCGCCUCUGAAGGGGAGAAUGACGAUUGCAGAACAGUCAUUGACAAUUAAAAAUGUGGAAAUGACAGAUGCAGGGUCUUACACCUGCCGCAUAUCCACUUUUCCCAGUGGUUCAUUUGAAGGAAUUACCAAACUUGUUGUUCGAGAACAGAAGCCGUUAUCAACCGAGGUGAUUUCUGCUGUAGUGAUUUCUGUCGUGCUGCUGUUGGUGAUCGUGGUGACCGUGGUUUACAUCAUUUUCAUCAGAAGACAGUAUGUGUGUGUGAUUUCAUGUUGUUACAAUUUUGAGGACCCAUCUCUGUUUUGGUGACAUCAAGCAGGUCCUCACAGUGCAUCACUAAAUUUUAGGUUGAAGACUUGUUUUAUCAUUAAGGUCAGAGCUAGGUUGCUAUGGCAAACUUAGCUCUCUCUGUAGCUAUUCUAUUUUAGUAGUUUUGUGGCAUUUCACAAAGUAGA